AGAAAACCCUGCAGAAGAAAUUACCUUAUCACAACAUAUUGUGAAAAUCGGUAGAUCCUUGUGCAUUGGGAAUAAUAUUUGAGGAUCUGAGAAAUACUGCACUGUUAAGAUUAUCAGGAAUAGAAAACCAGAGCUCGCCCUGAACAUACAGAUCUGCUUUGGAAGUGAGGGAGAAGUUUGUGGUUCAAGCUAAAGUCAGACAACCAAAAGUUCAGGGCUACUCAUCCAACAGAGGCUAAGUGUUGAGCCCAGGGCCACCCAGGAGGCAGGAAUGGACUGCUGGAGAAGGAUAUGACAUGUACAUCACCAAAGGUUUUACAAGAGCGCUUUUGGCAAAAAUCUGUCUGUAAUGUUUAUGUGCAGGUCAGCACAGCCAUGCUGUUUCUCUGCUGUGCAGUUGCCUAAGGGAGAAUACACACUUUGGCUUUCUGGAAGUGCGUGUGGAUUCACCUGAACACAGUUCUGAAAGAAGAAACGAUCAUCUGGAUGCAGUGAACUCAUGCUCAUAACAACUGAGUGGAAAUUCGCUUAUGCUAUUGAGUAUCAUGGAACACUGCACCACACAACACAGGACAAACUGCAGAACACAUAUGUUUAAGAGGUAUAUGACAAAAUGCUGCCAUGCUCCUUGAGUUGUGUUGCAAAGAAGAGUUGUGCUGUAUAUCCUGACGUCUUUUGCCAUCGUUACUGCAGUUUUUCCCUUCUGAAAUAUAGCUUUAUGGAGCGUCGGAUCUACUAGAACUAGUAAAACAUAUGAAAACAGUAGUACUAUUAUCAGAACUGUAAUGAUUUGGAGCUAUAAAUGAUGGAAGAUUUAUGUAUAGAUUUCAGAGGUGGCAUUCAGGGAAACUUCCUUGAUGUCCUGCGCAGAUGUCACUGCUGACUCAUAGGUUUAGAGUUUCAUAGAAAUUAAGCGGAAGUGAAGACUCAGACACCUCGGAUUCUUGGUCAUCCUUGUUACAGUUAAAGAACGGGCUUGGAUUUGUUCCUCCAUAUCUGCCUCUUGCCUCCUGCAUUUUAGAAGGUUUGAAAACCACUGCCAGGUGAGCAGAACCUGGUGAAAUGGAGGUGAAGAGCAACUGAGAGAUAACUGCCAUGGUUCCAGCAUGUUCUGCACCCAGAAGGUUCCGAAAGAGAGGCUAAACACCUCGGAAUGUACCGCAUUGAAAGUUUGUAUAGCUCCUCUUCUCUUUCUCAUCUUCGCUUCAAACAGAAGAACAAAAAGCUGAGAGCAAUAAACUAGAGAGCUGAAAAAAUCUAGUGUAAAGAAGUAAUUCAAAGAACAAGGAAGAAAGAAAUACGAGAGGAGGAAGGGAACAAAGAGAGGACAAAGGAAGCAGAACAAGGGAAAGAAGUGUCCUAUCAUUCUAUAGAUGCUGAUUUUCUAUGUCAUGCUGGUGUCCCAUGGCCCUUGUGAAGUUUGGCUCCCUGUUGUACUAUUCUUCCAGAAGCAGAGAAGUAGAAACAAUCUCUGUGCCAAAGAGCUUGCAAGUAAGCAAGUCCACUGUGGUAGAUAAUUUUUCCUUAAUGAGCACGUGUAUCUUUGUACUGCUCAGGUUCCUGUUAGGUUACUAAAUCAUUCUUCCAGUCUCCCACUUUCUUGCUAUAUACCAGCAUGGAUUUUGGAGACUGGAGCUUCAAACUUCAUCGAAGUUGUGCUAUAUCUGAAUUCUAGCCAACAGAUACCACUCAAGAUGAAUGAGACAUAUCAAAGUAGAACCUGUUCAGAGAUCAGAAUGUGAUGCAGGAAAAGAAUGAGCAAUUCUGAAGGAAAAAAAAAAAGAAAAAGGCAAUUAAAGAUGAAAACAAAUAAUAUUGGCAAAUGGAAAAUCACUUUGAACAGGUUUAUUAAGGUUGGAUUGAUUGAACUCCCUCCCUCCCCCCCCCCCCAUUCUGAUCAAUUUUUGGUACUUAAGAAGCACAGAAUUACAAUUUGCUACUUUGCCUUUUUGCCUUUUUGUGUGUGUGUGUGUGAGAGAGUACUUUGUUAUCAUAGAAUCAUGGAAUGGCUUAGGUUGGAAUAGAUAUCAAAGGUCAUCCUGUUUCAAACUCUCUGCCGUGGGCACAGUUGCCACCCACCAGAUAAGACUGCCCUGUGCUCCAUCCAACCUGACUCUGAACACCUCCAGAGUUGGGCCAUUCGUACCUUGUCUGAGCAGCCUGUGCCAGCACCUCACCAUUCUCUGAGUAAAGCAUUUCCUCCUAAUAUAAACAGGUCUUGAUCAAUGCAGAAGGGAAACAUUCUGUCUCUAUACUUGCACAUCAUCAUUGCCUCAACAGGAUUCUGAUUCUUGAUAACUGUAAGAUAUGAUGCAGGCCAUAUUCAUUGUAAGGUGUAAUAUGGAGGGGGUCCAGUGAAGUGCCAUGACUAUAUGGAUCUGGAGCAUUGGUCUUAGAAGAGGCAAGUACUUUGAAAGGAACCUGUUAAUAUUUCUGUGAUGUCUAAUCAACAGCUGGACUUCUAACAGUAUAGAUGUACCAUACAGAAAGUUGCACGUGGACUUCAAAACUCACAUUGUUCUAAAUGUCAUGAGAAUUUCACGAGAAAUGAAAAAAAAACAGCAAUGAGCGGAGUCAUUGCAAAGGUAUUUAGACACUGUGCACAAGGCAAGAGGCCAUCUUACUACCUUUAGGAGGUAAGCAAUCGUGGUGAGACAGCUUGAAUUCUUGGAUCUCAUGCUAGAGCCUGCUGGGGAUAUUGGCUGGAAAGUUCUUAUAAUGGUGGUCACAUGUGGGCUAAUGAUGUUUAAUGGUGUAACUUGUGGGGUUUACUAGUGCAUGACCUUUCUGCUGUGAGAGAAAGACCCCAGCCACAUAUGCUGCACAUGUAAUGUCUUUUAAUCCCUCUGUAGACACCCCCAGGGACUGUGGGUACUGUCAGAAUUGCCCUGUUUAGGGUCCCCAUCUGGACACAUUUUCAGCUCUGCAACCUUGAAGUUCUCUCAUGCUUUUCAUUGAUACUCCCCAUAAUUAGUUAUUUUACCUCUCUUUCUGUUUCUUUCCAGCAGAGUUUGAAGAUUUGGUUGUGUCUUGGCCAGUGCCAAGAAAAAAAGUGCAAUAAAAGGAUUGUGUUUAAAUCUGCAGAAACUGAGAUCCAGCCCAAAGCAAGACAGCGUGAAAAUAAGGAGCUGUGGAUCAAGCGGCUCACUGAGUGAGCUCGCCUGCCUGUUAGUCUUCACUGAAUGAAAACUGCUCACCUCACUGUGAAAGAUGCAGCACAAAGGCUUGAUGUAGACUUGGUUCCCUCAGUGUGACCUGUAUUACCUGAGCAGAAGGAUGUCUCAUUUCUGGAUUCUGAUCAUGCUUAGUUCACUGAAUUGAAGAGAGGAAACUUCUGUCUCCAGUGAUAUCACCUCUUGCCUUAUCAAGUUUAUAUUUUCUUCAUAAAUUCUCAGUUCAUCAAGUAAAACAAAAGUCCUCAGGUGAUCCAUGAAUAACAACCAGCCCUCCCGGACUACCCUUCUCUCCAGCAGUCACCCAUGAGAUGUUACCAAGCAGAACUCUGAAGUGUCAAAUAUGAUUUUCCCUGCCUGGAGAGGCAUGUAUUCUGUAGCUACUCCUGACAUACCUGUAAACUGCUCUUCCCUAUGAGGUGUGAAAUGGGAGCAGUAAUUACUUCCUGUGCUGCAAAGGCAUUGAGAAGUUUCAAGGCGUGCAGUUCUGGGUGACGGGAAACAAAACUAAACGAAGUAAAAUGUGAUCAGAAAAACAAUGAGAGCAGAACUUGAUCUGCUUGCAGGAAAAAGAAAUAGAGGAAUCAGAAUAAUCCCUGAAAUAGAAUCUGCUCAAUGAAGAUUUGAAUUUUAUUGCAUUUCUACAAUUCCUUCUAGCUAGCCAAGAUGCUUGUGAGUUUUGCAUAAGGCUUCUGAAGUCGGAACAAGACAAAGUUAUAAUGAAGUCAAAAGCAAAGUAUUAUGGUCAGAUAUGUCAGCAAAGGACAAAGUCAAAAUGAGGGUUGUAUGAACCUUUACACUUGUGUCAGUGUAUUUUGAUUAUCCCAUUGUCUUCCUCUAAAACGUAAAUGUGUAUCACAACCACAGAAGUGGGCACAUGAGAUAAACAGGAGAAGAAAAAAUCAAGCAAGCAGACAAAUCCACACACAUUCAAACAUUAGUGUCAUCUUCGUGUUUAAUAUUGUUUUAAAAGAAGCUUGAGCCCAUAAAGAUACUAAGCAAGUUU
ensembl:lncRNA